AAUAUUGGACAAUGGGCGAAAGCCUGAUCCAGCCAUGCCGCGCGUGUGAAGAAGGUCUUCGGAUUGUUAUGCACUUUAAGUUGGGAGGAAGGGCUUUAGGUUAAUACCCUGAAGUUUUGACGUUACCAUCAGAAUAAGCACCGGCUAACAUCGUGCCAGCAGCCGCGGUAAUACGAAGGGUGCAAGCGUUACUCGGAAUUACUGGGCGUAAAGCGUGCGUAGGUGGUUCGUUAAGUCUGAUGUGAAAGCCCCGGGCUCAACCUGGGAAUUGCAUUGGAUACUGGCGAGCUAGAGUACGGUAGAGGGUGGCGGAAUUCCUGUGUAGCGGUGAAAUGCGUAGAUAUAGGGAAGAACACCAGUGGCGAAGGCGACUACCUGGACUGAUACUGACACUGAGGUGCGAAAGCGUGGGGAGCAAAC
rnacentral:rRNA from 1 species